UUUAAUACAUAUUUGUGGGAAAAUAUAUUUAAAAAAAAAAAAUUCUAUUCUGAUGAUGUUUAGGCCAGCAGAGAAGGCCUUGCUGAAUUAAAACUGAAUUAAAAUGUAAUUGGCUAAAUGAGGAGUAGGCUACAAUGAUCAACCAACACGUAGUCUUGUUUCAUAUGAAUGGAGUUGUUGUAGACAAGGAUGCCUCAAAAUAACCUAAGUUAGCCUUGCUAUUGUAGCUAGCUAGCUUCUUUACAACGAUUUGAUGCAGUCAAGACAGGCACUACCAGGUGGUAGAGUAUGAUAGACAAACUUGUUGCUGCCAUAUGUUAUCUAUUGUAACUAGCCUGAGUCGGUUUGGUUACUUUCUCUCCCGCUGUGCCACACACAAGACUGUCACACACACAGACCCCUGCUCUUCUCUCCCCCACCCUUCCAAGCAGAGCUGAGCAGCGCACCGCACUGCCUAAUGAUUGACGAGACUUCCGCCAUGAGCUGAUUGGCUGACUAAGUUAUGACCAGGAAGAGACGUCUUCGCUGAAUCGUUUCAUCAUAGGAAUGAAUGCUAGAUUGAUGCCUGCAGCUUCUCCAUCAAAUCGAAAUAAACAAAGAAACAGAGUACUUUGCAGAGCCAACAGGCGAAAAUAGAAAACGAUAGAGCCUGGGCCAAGACGAGAGUGAACCUCGGAUUUGCGUUCACAACCUGAAGAGGGCGAGCUAGCUAACGUUAGCUAGGGGAUUCAAAACCGACCAAUACUUGUCCUAAUUUCUGCUCAAAAGUCCUACUACAACUGGAUGCAGUUGGCACAUCCCUGAGUGGAGAAGGAUCAGAUCGGUCUUCGUCUGAGCUCGACUACAGCAGAACUGGACUACAUCAAUAAUCCCCAUCCAGUCAUGGAGAACGCUUACGGGAAGUGUAAACCUACAGAGUACUCAGAAAUGUUGAUGAAAGGGGCCUUCAACCAAACACAUGAAUCAUAUGUAAAUAAGGGACGUUUGUGUGGACAACAAACUUGUGUGUGAAACCAUAAUUGUUCAUUCUUUACCUAGCAUAUUGUACUUUUGGAAUGGUUUUAGAUUUAUUUGACUAAACUGUACACUUUUCCUGAAUAUUCAAUUCAAGGGGCUUCAUUGGCACGGGAAACAUGUUAACAUUGUCAAAGCAAGUGAAGUAGAAAAUAUACAAAAGUGAAAUAAACAAAAAUUAACA